rnacentral:rRNA from 1 species
CAGCCGCCGCGGGAAUACGUAGGGGGCAAGCGUUGUCCGGAAUUAUUGGGCGUAAAGCGCGCGCAGGCGGUCAUUUAAGUCUGGUGUUUAAUCCCGGGGCUCAACCCCGGAUCGCACUGGAAACUGGGUGACUUGAGUGCAGAAGAGGAGAGUGGAAUUCCACGUGUAGCGGUGAAAUGCGUAGAUAUGUGGAGGAACACCAGUGGCGAAGGCGACUCUCUGGGCUGUAACUGACGCUGAGGCGCGAAAGCGUGGGGAGCAAACAGGAUUAGAUACCCCUGUCCCUGUCUCUUAUACACAU